rnacentral:lncRNA from 1 species
AGGGCUAAAGAUUCAAUUCUUCCGAGAUUUCUGCCUUUUCGAAGGCGUGAGCUCCAAAGUGCUAGCAAUGCAUAUGGUGGAUAUCACAAAGGAAAGCACAGUAGCUAUAGACCAAAUGUUUGCAGACCUAUAGGUUUGUAUUAAGGAUGCACUCCAAACUCGCUAAAACAAUACCGAUAAUAUUUCGGCUGCAUACAUAAAAUUAUAAGUUAACACACAACAACACCCAAAAAAAAAAAAAAUUCGAUAACUCUUACGAAUAAUAUACGACAUGUACAGGUGCACAUGCAAACCCUAAAUUCAUCAAGUACUCACAAUUAAUGCAUUGAGUCGAUGACGGCGGGAGAGCUCUAAGCCAAAAAAACUCAUCAGAAUGAGCUUGUUGAUGGAUGGCCAUUCAAAUUUGGUAAGGAUUAUCACCAUCAAUAUGGCAAGCCUCUCGACCUUGAGGAGGACAAUAUCUAUUUUGGGUAGCAUUUCUAUGAGUUUGAAGACCUUUCUUGUCUCUGCCAUUGUUUGCCUACCAAGAGAGGGUGAGAGGGAGAGGGAGAGAGCUAGCUUAGGGUUUAAGAGAUGGAGUACUACUGUUUGUCUGGUAGACUAAGAUUAGUUUUAUCUUCGAUAAUUAUUCAAAUUGUUAGUUAGCUAACUUUAUCCUAUAUAAAUGCAUAUGACGAUUAUCCUUACGAAAACUCAUUAAUUUGGACUCACGCCAACACUUACAGCAAAAAAAAAAUAAAAAAAUUUUAACACCACACAUAGUCUAGUGAUUCUUCUCUUUUUAAUAUGCCAAAUUUGAAAAAAGAACAUAUCAUAAAUGGUAUACGAGCUCUAAAGCAGUCGGCUUGAUUCCUCGAAAGGUAGCCACUGUCAAGCUAUUGUCGAUAGGACGAAGGGGCCAACAAGGACGUCAAGUGCGAAAGCGUAGGGCAAGUUCUACCAAUAAGCUCGUAUCAUGUAAAAAAUAAAAUUUGCAUUUGGAGAGCGUUGGAAUCACUGAUGCAAUUAACAAAAAGUAACUCUGCAGAACGUGCCGCCUAGGCUAGGUCACUUUCGUAGUACAAUUUUGAAGGAACAAAAAUUUGCUAUCUAUCUAUAGUUUUCGUCUCUUAAUCGUACAACUAAUUUAUCUAACUCUUCUUGUGACAACCUAUUGUGGAAAGUUAUCUCUCUAACAUUAAUGUUCCCUCAAAUUCCUCUUGCAUUUUCUUCAACAUAUUCUGGUAUUCUUCUUCAUAUGCUUCUCUUUCUCUUUCCAGUCUCUGCCUCAACAGAUACUUCUCUCUCUUCAAACUUUCAUUUUCAGCCCUCAAUCUCUCAACUUCCCCCUUCUUCAUCAAAUUUUUUAUCUCACUGACACUAUCAAUUUCAUCAGCUUCCACCAAUUCCUCUUCCCAACUAUCAUCAACUUCUUCCAGUGAAUUCAAUCUUCCCAAAUGUCAUCAACUUCUAGAAGAUCAUCUUCCCGUUUCGUGUUUUCUUCUUCAGUAUCAGGCUUUUCUUUCAAUUGGUCCUCGUCUUCUUGCAUCGAAUCCCCUUCCCAUCUGUUAUUUUCUCCUUUU